CUUGCUCUCGGGUGACGAGUGGCGGACGGGUGAGUAAUGUCUGGGAAACUGCCUGAUGGAGGGGGAUAACUACUGGAAACGGUAGCUAAUACCGCAUAACGUCGCAAGACCAAAGAGGGGGACCUUCGGGCCUCUUGCCAUCAGAUGUGCCCAGAUGGGAUUAGCUAGUAGGUGGGGUAACGGCUCACCUAGGCGACGAUCCCUAGCUGGUCUGAGAGGAUGACCAGCCACACUGGAACUGAGACACGGUCCAGACUCCUACGGGAGGCAGCAGUGGGGAAUAUUGCACAAUGGGCGCAAGCCUGAUGCAGCCAUGCCGCGUGUAUGAAGAAGGCCUUCGGGUUGUAAAGUACUUUCAGCGGGGAGGAAGGUGUUGCGGUUAAUAACCGCAGCAAUUGACGUUACCCGCAGAAGAAGCACCGGCUAACUCCGUGCCAGCAGCCGCGGUAAUACGGAGGGUGCAAGCGUUAAUCGGAAUUACUGGGCGUAAAGCGCACGCAGGCGGUCUGUCAAGUCGGAUGUGAAAUCCCCGGGCUCAACCUGGGAACUGCAUUCGAAACUGGCAGGCUAGAGUCUUGUAGAGGGGGGUAGAAUUCCAGGUGUAGCGGUGAAAUGCGUAGAGAUCUGGAGGAAUACCGGUGGCGAAGGCGGCCUCCUGGACAAAGACUGACGCUCAGGUGCGAAAGCGUGGGGAGCAAA
rnacentral:rRNA from 1 species